rnacentral:rRNA from 1 species
GGCUCAGGAUGAACGCUGGCGGCGUGCUUAACACAUGCAAGUCGAACGAGCUUUAUUACUACGAUCCCUCGGGGUGACGGUUUUAAAGCGAGUGGCGGACGGGUGAGUAACGCGUGGGUAACCUGCCUCAUACAGGGGGAUAACAGCUGGAAACGGCUGCUAAUACCGCAUAAGCGCACAGUGCUGCAUGGCACAGUGUGAAAAACUCCGGUGGUAUGAGAUGGACCCGCGUCUGAUUAGCCAGUUGGCAGGGUAACGGCCUACCAAAGCGACGAUCAGUAGCCGACCUGAGAGGGUGACCGGCCACAUUGGGACUGAGACACGGCCCAAACUCCUACGGGAGGCAGCAGUGGGGAAUAUUGCACAAUGGGGGAAACCCUGAUGCAGCGACGCCGCGUGAGCGAAGAAGUAUUUCGGUAUGUAAAGCUCUAUCAGCAGGGAAGAAGAAUGACGGUACCUGACUAAGAAGCACCGGCUAAAUACGUG